rnacentral:RNase_P_RNA from 1 species
AAGCCAAGUGAUCGCGCGAAUAUUCGCGAGGAAAGUCCGAGCUCCGCAGGACAGAGUGCCGGAUAACACCCGGUGAAGGCGACUUCAAGGAAAGUGCAACAGAAAUAAACCGCCGCUUUUGCGGUAAGGAUGGAAAGGCGGGGUAAGAGCCCACCGACGCUUCGGCGACGAAGCGUGCCCUGUAAACCCCACUCGGAGCAAGAUUGAAAUGGGAGCAUUCAAUGGCUGUCCGUCACGCUCCCCGUAAUCGCUCGAGCAUACAGGUAACUGUAUGCCCAGAUAGAUGAUCACAUAAACAGAACUCGGCUUACGGCUUGCU